rnacentral:tRNA from 1 species
ACCUGGGUGGCUCAGUCGGUUGAGCGACUGACUUCGGCUCAGGUCAUGAUCUCGCAGUUCGUGGGUUCGAGCCCCGCAUUGGGCU